GACGAACGCUGGCGGCGUGCUUAACACAUGCAAGUCGAACGGAAAGGCCCUGCUUUUGUGGGGUGCUCGAGUUGCGAACGGGUGAGUAACACGUGAGUAACCUGCCCUUGACUUUGGGAUAACUUCAGGAAACUGGGGCUCAUACCGGAUAGGAGCUCCUGCUGCAUGGUGGGGGUUGGUAAGUUUCGGCGGUUGGGGGUGGACUCGCGGCUUAUCAGCUUGUUGGUGGGGUAGUGGCUUACCAUGGCUUUGACGGGUAGCCGGCCUGCGCGGGUGACCGGCCACAUUGGAACUGAGAUACGGCCCAGACUCCUACGGGAGGCAGCAGUGGGGAAUAGUGCACUAUGGGCGGAAGCCUGAUGCAGCAACGCCGCGUGCGGGAUGACGGCCUGCGGGUUGUAAACCGCUUUCGCCUGUGACGAAGCGUGAGUGACGGUAAUGGGUAAAGAAGCACCGGCUAACUACGUG
rnacentral:rRNA from 1 species